rnacentral:lncRNA from 1 species
CAGACCUGGAGAGCAGAAGACCUGGGCCGGGAGCGGGGCUUUGCCAGGGUCCAUUGUACUCACGCUGGGGGGCUAGAGACCUUCUUUUACUGGUUCUGCUUAUCAGCCAAACUUCACCUAACCUUUGGACUUGUUAAGCCAGUGCCUUGCAGCCUAGGCGCGGGGCUUUUCCACCGGUUCUCAGUUCCGCUUUAGUCCAGAGAGAAGACACUACGCUUCGGGGUUCAGUUUGUUGUAAUAGGUGCAAAUCUUUGCUUCUCAUAAUUCUGCCCAAUGGAAGAACAUUCUCUGCCUACCCAGCUUGCCUCAAGAAGGAUAAUGAAGUGUUCAGAGUAAAUGUCCCUGAAGAACAAUCUCUUCGUCUGUCUCUCACUCGCUAUCAGGAUAGAAGCAUCAAGUGUAAUGAAGAUCAGUUUCUGUGUUAAGCUGGGAAAACCCAUUUAAAAAACAGCAAUCACUUCUGUUGUAACAACAAAACUUUGAUUGGCAGUUGCAGCUGCUGUGUGCCCCAUCUGAUUCCCAAGCCUCAUUCUCUCUCAAAAUUCAGGUGUCAGCAAACCCAUUCUUCCCCACACCCCAGCUAACUAUGUGAAUGUGCAGGCAAUUUCACACAGAGGAUAGGACAAACUUCCUAUGAGUGUCCAGGUAUGUUUUCCAGGUAAUCUGGCUAUUCAUAUCUAGCAACUUCCUGUAAUGCUCCUUCCUAGUCCUACCUUGUAAUAUGCCACUUUGUGCAAUAUAAGCGCUUAUCAAGUAAUUGUUCUGUACUAUAGAUCUUCAAACAGAUUCACCAGUCCCUUCAUAUGGAAGUUUAAAAAGAGCUGUGUAAAGUAGACCAGCAGAUAGUCUUUCAGAAUGCAGUUCAUAAUGUUAAGUGAGCUAUCUUGUAAAACUCUUCAGUUAAACUUCCCCCAAAUAGAGGAAGACGGAGUAGGAUUGAAAUAACAUCUGUUUAUGCUUCACACAGAAUAAAGUCGUGAUGGACUGAUAUAAUAACUCCAUUUUAAAGAUGGAAAAGGUUUGGAGUAGUCAAACAGAACUAAACUUGAACCCAAGAUCUGCUUCACCUGCUGUGUGACUUUUGGCAUGUUACAUAAUCUUUCUGAUCCUCAGUUUCCUCAGUGCAAAAUGAUAAUGACACUCUACUGUGCCGGUGUGAAGAUUAGGUGAGUUAGUAACCACAGGUUCCUAGAAUAUGGUGGGCUCUCACGUAUUUAGAAAGAAGAGGCACAUCUUGAUAACAUGCUGAGAACUGAGGCAACUGAUGUCUUUAGGCUCUUAUAGUCCCAGCAUGUUUUUAAGAGCUACUGAAUUUGAAGAGACCAUAUCAGUUUCAUCUGCUCAAAUUAGAUGAAUUUGCAGUUCAUAUCCCAAGGUUUGUUGUUCUUGUUUUUUAUAGGACGUGCAAUCCCUGGUAUAAAAUAAGUUGAAAUCCAGUUGACUCAUCAUUCUAUGAAGGUGUUCUGAGCACCAUGCUGGUCAUUCCACAGAUUGGCAAAUGUGGCUUCUGUGAACUCAUCUCCCCUGGAACUUAGCAGCACAAGCGAUAUUUCUUUUCUGAUUUGUGCAUGCAAUCUUUCCCCUACUUUUCACGGUUGCACUUCUUUGUUUACAGAAGAGAUUCUGGUCAUUUCCACCCCUGCCACUCCACUCUCCCAGCCUCUCUCAUUGGUUCACAGAGUAUCUAGAAGGCCUCAAAAUAAAAUCAUCUCUAGAGUAAAACAUAAAUACCAUCCUAACCUGUUCUGCAGGAGGUCAGGGGCCUUCUUGUUAGAGAGCAGUGUUGCAACCUGGAGAACAUUCUAGACAUCAGGGUCUGGAAAGAGCCUGAGGUUCUUCUUCUGGCUACAAAACCUCUUUCUGGGUGAUUCAUCUCCCCAAAAGUUUUGGUGAGCACCUUCUCUGGGUCUCUGAUUCUACCUUUGAAAAAUGGCUAUUGGUCUGGAUAACCAUUUAGGUCCUCCAACUUUUUUUUAUAAUUUGAAAUUCCUAAAAGGUCUUAAAUUAUUAGGGUGUCUACUUGCAGGCCUUCGGGCAGAUGGGCCAAGAGCUCAGGCCAGACCUCUGUGUAGUAGUGGACAUGAAGCCUUGACUAGCCACGAAAAAAUAUACCACAGAGAGCAAACCCUAUGAGGGGCAGGCAUCUUCUCAUGUCUUACUCCUCAGUGCCUGGAGAAGUGCUGGUGCAUGGUAGAUGCUCAAGAAAAUGCUUACUGAGUAAACGAACAUGUGAUUGCCUCUGGACAAUACUGUUAAAACUAAAUACUUGCCAGGUGUGGUGGCUCACACCUGUGAUAGUUCUUUGGGAGGCCGAGGUGGGAGGAUAGCUUGAGCCCAGGAGUUCAAGCAAAAUAGUGAGACCCUGUCUCUACAAAAAUAAAAAAUAAAAAAAUUAGCCAGGCAUGGUAGUGCAUGCUUAUAGUCCUGGCUACUCAGGAGGCUGAGGUGGGAGGAUCGCUUGAACCCAGGAGUCUGAGGUUCCAUUGAACUAUGAUCGUGUCACUGCACUUCAGCCUGGGUGACAGAAUGAGACCCCAUUCUCUAAAUAAAUAAAUAACUACUUUCACCAGACACGAAAGAGUAUAUACUGUGUGAUUCCAUUUAUAUAAAGUUAAAAAGUGGAAAAACAAAUCCGUGGUGCUGGAGGUUUCUGGGGUGCUAGAAAUGGUUCUAUAUUUUGAUUGGGAUGGUGGAUCCAUCACCAGGCUAUACAUGUGGGAUCUGUGCAUGUUGCCAUAUGUAAGUUAUAAAUUAGUAUAAAGUAAAUUAAAUAAAUUACUCCAAGUAUAAAAUGUAAACAGUGUGGGGCCGGGCGCGGUGGCUCAUGCCUGUAAUCCCAGCACUUUGGGAG